UGCCUGUUGCUACUACCAUAUUAUAGUACUGGCUGACUAUGUGAGGGUUUCAGUUUAUCCAUAAAUGGCACAAGCUGUUCAUUCAGCCGGUACUAUAAUUUGCUGCUUCUACCAAAUCACAAGAUCAGUUUAUCCAUGCUCAUGGAAUUUCGUGUGUAGGGCUACGAUUACAAACUCCGUUGAUUAUUCACGCUCUGGUCGAUGCUCUGUCGGCAGCCCACUAACCAGGCAACUCUAUCGUUGAGGACCGUGUGUACCGCAGGAGGAUCCCUGAUGCUUUGUUGCUCCUGUGACCUUCAAUUUGUUGUGUGGCUGUCUACAAACAUACAGUAGCUUCAUUCAAAUUCUUUUUAGAAAUUGCUAGACGAAUUUUUUUGUAGAGCUGAGAGAAAAGAUGCAUAGACAAUAGAAUUAUGUUCAGGUUUGCAAUAAUUCGUUCUAUUUGCUUGCAAACAAAUUGCACAAGCCGUUCAUUUGUUGGAUGAUGUUUGCAUGUAUUUCUAGCAAGUUAUAAAAACUGAUGGAAGAUGCUUUGUGUAUUCUUUUGUGUGUCUAUCAGAACAGGCAUGGUGGGAGGGCGAUGCUCUGUUGACUGCUUUUCUUAUAAUAUUACAGAGGGAGGAUCGAAGUGGAGAUUGGUACUUUCCCUUUCAGCGGCCAAAGAAAAGCAACACUUUUUCAUGUGAUUUCAGAUGAAACGACCAGAGUGUGUAAAAUCUGGAUCGCUACAAACAGGUCAAGAAUAAAUUCUCCAAGCUCUCAGAAGAGAAGCAAUAAUGUGACUCCCAGGUGCCUCUCUGAGAGAAAAGCUGGAGAUGCUUUGCCAGUGGCAAAACAAAGGGAAGUAAUUGCUACGGACGCCAGCCAGGUGUUCAUGCUAUUGGAUUAAUGUUUUCUGCUCUUAAUAAUGCUUCCGUUUUUCUUCUUUUAGAACCCUUCUUUUGUACUCUUACAAAUAGCAGAUGAAAGGAGAAGGAUGAAGAAGUCAAGCUAUUGGAGAGAUCAAUUGAGGAGCUCAAAAGAACUUUAGUGUUCUCAAAAGUAACUUUAUUUAGUUUGAGUGAAUUUUGUGGCCUAAGUGUUGUAGCUAUUCAUUUUGCCACGCAUUCUGAAUGUUAGUACACACCCAUGUUGGUACAGAACUCCUAUUGUUAUGCCUGUUAUGACAACAACUUUCCCAGAUUUUUGUGCAUAAACAUACAUAUGUGGACUAAAUUCUUUUGUUA